rnacentral:lncRNA from 1 species
AGUCCUUCGCCGUCCCUCGCCGUCCUUCGCCAUCGCACGCCACCGCACCCCAUCUCUCGAAAUCUGCAGACAUCUUGAUUUUUCCCACGCUGUCUGUCAGGUCUCCGCCGCCACUCGACGCCAGGGCGCCGGGUGAGUCCACAGCAGGGCGCAUGGUCGGCUCCACUCUCACCAUCGGGGGAAACUGAGGCCCCGGGGAAGGCGGCCAGAGAGGUCAGGCCCUGUCCUUGGUGCAGUGUCUCGUCCUCUUUGCCGGAGUGAGCCCCCCAGGAUUCGCGUGUCCUCGGGAAAGACACUGGCAGGCCUUGUGGGCUGUGCUGCACCUCGGACGGCUUCGCACCAGCCAGCGCCCUCUCUCUCCUGCAGCACUCUGAUCUGCACCCCCUGAGGGGCUUCCACUGUCCGCGGGGUGAGAAUGCCCCUGGGAGUGUCACAUGACUGCCGCCCCAUGUGUGUGAGAGGCGUCCUCUGGGAGAGCAUGGAUCCUGAGGUCCCAGGAACAUCCCGAGAGCCAAGUUCCCAGAUGCCAGCCAAGGGCCAUCUGACCUGUUUUGAAUCUCAAUUUCCUGAUACAGAAAACAAAGGAUUGUCAGCUGACCUCUGUCCUGUGUGCCCAGUGGCCCCAGGUGACGUGUCUUCAAGAAGAGGCUGAGCUGCGGUGCUUGUAAGAUGGGUCUGCUGUGUGCAGAGGCUCCAUGGGAUGUGUUGUCUUCAUAGUAGCAGGGCGCUGGACCAUGGGUCCGCAAGGUCUCAGCCUUAGAUCCAAGGACAGUCCAAGGAAGUCCUAAGACCAUGGAGUUGGUGAUCUGGGAUCUGGGUUUGCUGAUAUUUCUCACCGUGAAUCUCUUGGUGGUGUUUGUGGGCACGAGAGGGGCAGAGAAUGGAGAGUGAGGCUACCACAUGAAGCGUCACCAGAGCUGCUCCCUGCUGCCUGCUCAGAGCACCCCGGAUCCACUGUUCAAUCUGCACAAGAUUCGGGGUCCAGACAUGGGAGACUUCAGCUGCCUCAGAGGACCGUGGACAGGGAAGGCCAGCCUCGCAUCCCUCUGUCCAUGCCUGGAAUGACUUUAAUAACCAAGAGUUUUAUUUUUGAAUUUGUAGCUGUCGUUCACUUUUUACCCACCCAUUCAAUAAACCUUACAGAAUUGCUCCA